UGGGGAAUAUUGCACAAUGGGCGCAAGCCUGAUGCAGCCAUGCCGCGUGUAUGAAGAAGGCCUUCGGGUUGUAAAGUACUUUCAGCGAGGAGGAAGGCGUUGUGGUUAAUAACCGCAACGAUUGACGUUACUCGCAGAAGAAGCACCGGCUAACUCCGUGCCAGCAGCCGCGGUAAUACGGAGGGUGCAAGCGUUAAUCGGAAUUACUGGGCGUAAAGCGCACGCAGGCGGUCUGUCAAGUCGGAUGUGAAAGCCCCGGGCUCAACCUGGGAACUGCAUCCGAAACUGGCAGGCUAGAGUCUUGUAGAGGGGGGUAGAAUUCCAGGUGUAGCGGUGAAAUGCGUAGAGAUCUGGAGGAAUACCGGUGGCGAAGGCGGCCCCCUGGACAAAGACUGACGCUCAGGUGCGAAAGCGUGGGGAGCAAACA
rnacentral:rRNA from 1 species